AAGUCGAACGAUGAAGUCCUAGCUUGCUAGGAUGGAUUAGUGGCGCACGGGUGAGUAAUAUAUAGUUAAUCUGCCCUACACAGAGGAACAACAGUUGGAAACGGCUGCUAAUACCCCAUACUCCUAUUUGACAUAAGUUAAAUAGGGAAAGUCUUUUCGGUGUUAGGAUGAGACUAUAUCGUAUCAGCUAGUUGGUAAGGUAAUGGCUUACCAAGGCUAUGACGCGUAACUGGUCUGAGAGGAUGAUCAGUCACAUUGGAACUGAGACACGGUCCAAACUCCUACGGGAGGCAGCAGUAAGGAAUAUUGCGCAAUGGGGGAAACCCUGACGCAGCAACGCCGCGUGGAGGAUGACACUUUUCGGAGCGUAAACUCCUUUUAUCAGGAAAGAAUAAUGACGGUACCUGAUGAAUAAGCACCGGCUAACUCCGUGCCAGCAGCCGCGGUAAUACGGGGGGUGCAAGCGUUACUCGGAAUCACUGGGCGUAAAGGACGCGUAGGCGGAUUAUCAAGUCUUUUGUGAAAUCUAGUGGCUUAACCACUAAACUGCUUAGGAAACUGAUAGUCUAGAGUAGGGGAGAGGUAGAUGGAAUUCUUGGUGUAGGGGUAAAAUCCGUAGAGAUCAAGAAGAAUACCCAUUGCGAAAGCGAUCUGCUGGAACCUAACUG
rnacentral:rRNA from 1 species